CAAAUAAUACCAACACUUGAUCUGCUUUUACAUCAUUUAUUUAAACCAGAGUAGCGAGCGAAACAUGAUUGAUAUACCUGGUUGCAGUGAACGAACAAACUUUAUGUCUUUACAAUAUACUUAAUUAAGAACGGCAUCAAAUUUUAGAAAAGAUAUACAAUUCCUGCAAUUUGUUCUUUAUUAAAAUCUUAAUUAAUUUGUUUUAGAUACUUUUUGUUGCUACCAAAGGUUCUAGUUAUCGCGGUGAUAUAGCGUUGGAUGAUAUUACCUUUAAAAUCCAGGGAUGUUGAACUAUGAUAAUACUACAAAUAUUCCAAUUACACCGGGUAGGUAUCUUUCAGAAUAUUUCUAUGACAUCAUUGACACUUUUUAAGGUAUUCAAAUGUUCUAUAAUGAGUAACUCGUAAAUUUUUGGAGCACAACGUUUAGUUCGAGAAUGAUGUGAAGCAUCUCCAUAAAUAUUUUAAUUGAAAAAUACAAAACAUUUUUCGCGUUUCUAUAGAAACACGCGUAUAAGUUUAGGAGAACAAGAACUAAGCGGUUUGGAAAAUUAGGCAGAAUGGCGAAUUUUUUCAAAUUAUUUCAAAUUUUACCACACUAUUACACACAAUUUACAAAAUGACUUCUGUCAUAACAAUUCUUGAUAUUGUGCUUAAACUCAUCCACUGCGCUGAAAAUAUAGGACUCAAUAAACAACGAACAUACCCCUUUCUGAAAUAAAUAAUAUCCAUGCAUAGCUAGCUAUUCAGUAAACACCUCCUAUUUUUUGUUGUAGAAAUAAAGAAUCACCAAAUCUAGAAGAGAUGAACGCUUGAACAACAAAAAUAGUUUCUUACUAAUCAUCAUAAUCCUUUCACAAUAUUUUUAAUUAUUUUUAAUAACCAUAAUAAUGUAAUUUAAGUAGUGAUUGUAAGUUAACAUUAAGAAGUAAGAAUUUGCAAUAUUGUCAACAUGCAUGCGAAAAACUUCUAUUAAUAAGGUUUUCGUGCAUAGUUGUUAUCAUUCAUAACUUCCUUUUAUCAUUUUUCUUAUCGUGUAUUUCUUCAGAAGAAACCUAUACCAUAUAUUUGUACUGAAAC